rnacentral:rRNA from 1 species
CCCUUAGAUGUCCUGGGCUGCACGCGCGCUACACUGAUGUGUCCAGUAAGCACCUAACCUCUUCCGAAAGGAACGGGUAACCUUUGCAAAGCACAUCGUGAUGGGGAUAGAUUAUUGCAAUUAUUAGUCUUGAACGAGGAAUUCCUAGUAAGCACAAGUCAUCAGCUUGUGUUGAUUACGUCCCUGCCCUUUGUACACACCGCCCGUCGCUACUACCGAUUGAAUGGUUUAGUGAGGCCUUCGGAUCCGCGACUCGUUUUGUGGAGAAGUUGGACAAACUCAGUCAUUUAGAGGAAGUAAAAGUCGUAACA